GGAAAGUUGUUACCUGCUGUCCUGCUAAUGGCUAAUUGGACUGGGCCCUGAUAUCUGCUGCACAUUUGCAUCUUGGAACACAGAAAUGUGAGUUCUGCAUUGCCACCAUCAGAAGCUGGAGGGGAGGAGCUCAGAACAUGAACAUCCACUGGCAAAAGGGAGCAGAGAUUGGUUAUGGAACUGGACUGGAGUAGACUGGAACACACCUGGCUGACUUCGGUCUCUACUGAACAUUGGGAGGAAUGGGAGUUUUGUACAAGCACAUUACUCUGAGCAUUUCAAGGGGAUCAGUGCUCUUUCUUGAAAAUCCUGAGGGCUGCAAAACCUGAUGUUUUCAGCACUGGAAACAGUGUGUGCCACCAUCACCAUGUGCCACCUCUGUAAAGUGUCCAUGGGCUCUGUCAUCCCACCUCCAGAGGCAUAAGGACACACCAGCAAAACCUACCAAACAUUCUCUCUAUCACCCACAUAUCCCCUGUGAUCAAUGUACUCACUGACGGCUCCUCAUAACUCUGUGGUCAUCUUUUUUCUUUUUUCUUUUAUUUUUUUUUUCACUGCCAUUAAUUAUUCCUGGAAGCAAAUAAAAGGGCCCACCGAUAUCGCUCCCUCCUUCUGGCCGCAGCCAGCUUUUCCUUCGGGAGAAAAAACUUGUGUUCGUUUGCAGUGGGACAAUGCCGACUUUUGAACCUCUAACCACUAACCAAACAAACCUUGCGCUCCGCUCCACAAUCCAAACAGCCUUUAUUGACAGGCGUAUCGCAGCAACGCACCGCAGCUCGGGCAGCAGCCUGGCUGGGAUCGAUGUUGCAGGGCGGCCCCGGGCGCCAGAGGGCAUCCUCCGAGGGACAGCCCCUCGGAUCCAUUUGGUGCCUGCAAAGCCCUGUGAACCGGCAUCGCCGCGGUGUGGAUUGGAAUCCUUUAGAUGCCACCAUUGGGGCACGGUGCAUACCGAACCCACGAGCAGUGAGCACAGCCUGAGUGCUGCUCACAGCAAGAAACCUGCAUAUAUUAGCCCACAUUGUGUCUGGGGAUGGGCGCAGAGCUCCCCCAAAGUUUUCUGCCCCAGGUGGUGGAAGGAGAGCUGGGACAUCCAAGGAGACUGAAAACUGACCAGUGGCAUGAACUCCAAGCAAGGCAGGCAGCAUGGGGAGUGACAAUCAGUGCUGGGACACUGUGAGUGCCAAGUGGGUGCCUGGCAGCUCUCUGUAAGCACAGGAUCUUCACCCCAGCAUGGCUGGAUGCAAUUUUCACAGACUUCACUCUGCCCAUCUCUGUAUGGUGGUCCUCAGCACUGGGCGUACGGAUCUUACAAGUGUCUUACACUGAGCUGUUCACUGCCACAGACUUGACACCGCCUCACCUUCUCUGCUCUGACUCUUCACAAACGUUUUGCAUAUUUGCAGUUAUGACCAAAAAAUGAAAAGUAAAAUAUAAAAUUUAAAAAAAAAAAUGUGCUUUAAUUUCUUUUUUUUUUCCCCAAUAAAAUUCAUUGUCAGCCCAACAGCAUCGCUCAGACCUUCGCACAGAUCCCUGAGAUUCACUGGGGAGUGCCACGCUCCCCUUACACCUAACAAACGCCAGGGUAAAAAAAAAAAAAAAAAGGAAAAAUAACAACAAAAGAAAA